rnacentral:rRNA from 1 species
AACGAACGCUGGCGGCAUGCCUAACACAUGCAAGUCGAACGAGACCUUCGGGUCUAGUGGCGCACGGGUGCGUAACGCGUGGGAACCUGCCCUUAGGUUCGGAAUAACUCCCCGAAAGGGGUGCUAAUACCGGAUAAUGUCUUCGGACCAAAGAUUUAUCGCCUUUGGAUGGGCCCGCGUUGGAUUAGCUAGUUGGUAGGGUAAAAGCCUACCAAGGCGACGAUCCAUAGCUGGUCUGAGAGGAUGAUCAGCCACACUGGGACUGAGACACGGCCCAGACUCCUACGGGAGGCAGCAGUGGGGAAUAUUGGACAAUGGGCGAACGCCUGAUCCAGCAAUGCCGCGUGAGUGAUGAAGGCCUUAGGGUUGUAAAGCUCUUUUACCCGGGAUGAUAAUGACAGUACCGGGAGAAUAAGCUCCGGCUAACUCCG